CUCUGUGUCACUUCUACCCUCUCUAAGAACACCUCCAGGGACAGUGACUCCACCACUUCCCUGAGCAGCCUGUGCCAAUGCCUCACCACUCUUUCUGAGAAUUUUUUUCCUAAUAUUCAAACAGAACUUCCUCUGGUACAACUUGAGGGCAUUCCCUCUUGUCCUGUCACUGUUACCUGGGUCCAGAGGCCAACCCCACCUAUCCACAAUCUCCUUUCAGGCAGCUGUAGAGAGCAAUAAGGUCUCCCCUGAGCCUCCUCUUCUCCAGUGAGGAGCCCAAACCCGAGCACAGCACUGAGGUGCGGCCUAAACACUCACAGCCCACCAGGAACUUCUGGCGGUCCCGCGGACUGCGAGACGCAACUGAAGCUCACCCAUCUGAAAGCAAAAGAGUGAAAAGAGCCAAGCCGAGUUUAUUGAAAGCAUCCACGGUAACUUUUUAUUGAAGACCCGUAGAAAGCAGCACGGAACACUGAGCGAUGCCACGGCUCCCUGCAGGACCGAGCUCCUCGCGCAGCCCUCCAACUCCCGCUCCUCAGCACACGGCUCUGCGGGACGCCCAUCGCCACCUUCAUUAACCCUUGCCUCCCUACAGAGCAGAACGAGCAAAGCCAAGCGCCGCACGCGGAGCGCCGCGUACCUACCGCUGAGCGGGCGCCAGGCUCCGAGAGGGGCCGGGGCCGGGCGGGUCCCAGCGGCGGGGGCACCGCGCGGCCGAGCGCUGCGGCGGGACAUGGCUCGGGGACACCUUAACCCCGCGGCCGGACGGGGUGAGCGGGGCCUUCUUUGUGCGGGAGGAGGAGGGAGAGCGGCUCUCGCGAGGAGGAGGCGAAGUGCGCCCGCCGCUGCGCUGCGCCCCGCUCCCGCUCUGCCCUCCGCUCAGCCCCUCGGGCGCGCGCACAGCGCUGAGUGAAGCGCGGGG
ensembl:lncRNA